UAGGGAAUCUUCGGCAAUGGACGGAAGUCUGACCGAGCAACGCCGCGUGAGUGAAGAAGGUUUUCGGAUCGUAAAGCUCUGUUGUAAGAGAAGAACGAGUGUGAGAGUGGAAAGUUCACACUGUGACGGUAUCUUACCAGAAAGGGACGGCUAACUACGUGCCAGCAGCCGCGGUAAUACGUAGGUCCCGAGCGUUGUCCGGAUUUAUUGGGCGUAAAGCGAGCGCAGGCGGUUAGAUAAGUCUGAAGUUAAAGGCUGUGGCUUAACCAUAGUAGGCUUUGGAAACUGUUUAACUUGAGUGCAAGAGGGGAGAGUGGAAUUCCAUGUGUAGCGGUGAAAUGCGUAGAUAUAUGGAGGAACACCGGUGGCGAAAGCGGCUCUCUGGCUUGUAACUGACGCUGAGGCUCGAAAGCGUGGGGAGCAAACAGGAUUAGAUACCCUGGUAGUCCACGCUGUGAACGAUGAGUGCUAGGUGUUAGACCCUUUCCGGGGUUUAGUGCCGUAGCUAACGCAUUAAGCACUCCGCCUGGGGAGUACGACCGCAAGGUU
rnacentral:rRNA from 1 species